AUUUCGCUAGAAAAAGUUUGAGAAAAAAUAUAAGCUUGGCAACAUCGCUGUAUAUCAUCUGUUUUCGUUUACGUGAAAAUGGCUGCCUUUGUUUACUAAAUAUUGAGAAAGAAUAUUGAAUAGAUUUGUUAAAGUGAAAUAUAUUUGAGUGUUUAGAUAUUGUUUAAGCGAUACAAUAGUGCGAAGACAAUGGGUAAAUCGUGUUAUGUUUGUAUAAAAGUGGAUUAUUUGAAUCUUAACCUUUCAUUUCAUAACAGAAAUUACAUCUUCAAUUAGUUGUUACUUUGGUACGUUGGUUAUUACCGUUUGACGGCGGCGGUCAGACGGCUGGAACCUAGACUCCCAUCGUCUCCUUCAUGAUUACCAGUAUUGCAAUUAUGGAAUGUGUGUAUCGGACAGUCGUCGCCGGAAGUUUCCCCGCCUCACAACACAUACAUAACAUAUAACUAUUUUGAUGCUUAAUUAAAUAAAACAUAUUUCAAGUUAUAAAAA